AUGUGCUACGUUAAUGGAACUGCAUGUUUCUUAGGAAAUGUUGCUUUCUUAAUACAUAUAUUAUUAGUGCUCUCAUGGGCUAAAUGUACUUUUAUUGAAGAUAUUAUCCUAAAGUUGCUUAGUACUCAAAGCUAUAGCAAUAGGAAAGAUGCAAAACAAUAUAAAAUGUAUACAGUAUUUUUUUAUUAUUUUCUCCCAGAACUUAUGAACGUGAUGAUUUUCCAUUUUUCUGGUUUGUUUUUUACUCUACAUGAGGAAACCCUUAGGCUUUCAUAGAAUUUACAUUUGAACUCGUUUUUCCUUAGUCUCUUAAGGUUUCUGAAGGCUAAUAUCCAGAGGGCCUGAGAACUAAACCUCUUUCAAGUUACAGAAGUUUUCAAUACUCCUAGAAAAUUCUUCUAUCUAUUCCUUGUGGAUACCGCUCUACAGCUCCCUCUCCUAAGAGGCUGAAGUGCAAGAUCCCGGUGCCAGGAUGGUUGGGUGAAGAGCCUCUUGUGUGUCCCAGAUGUCUUAUAACCUCAUAUGGCCAAAGGAGGGAGUG